AGCGGAUGCGGAAGGUGUUGUAAGCCCCCGGAGACACACUCGUGGCUUGAAUCUGGAAGAUGUCCGAGGGAACGGAUCGUUCUGAGGUGAUGGUCAUGUAGCGAUGGACGAUGGAGAAAGGGCUGGACGUAAUACUUGCCAACACAAGAACGGUUGUUUCCUGCUAUCUGGAACCCGGGUUCACAUUGACAAGAGAAAGAACCAGGGACGUUGACACAGCGAUGUUGGCAGUAUCUGUACCUGCACUCGUCAAUGUCUGAGAACAGAAAAACAGUUCCUAAAACACAGAGCUGAGAGAGGAGACUGGGCCACGUUAUCUUGGCUCUUGUAAGCAGAUCUGGGAGAGCAGAGCAGACGGCAGUGCAGCUGUGCAGCUGUGAAGUGGAAGGCCUGUACCAUUAAACUAGGUCCUGAGUGGUGGCAAAGAUGGCAGCUGUCAUUACAGGAGAGGUUGUUAAAAGUCACACUGACUGCCCCCCAAGUGGACCAACUGUGCUCCCCCCCACAGGUUUGACCCCUUAUGUCCACGGCCACCCACAAACCUCCCACACACUUGAACAGCUCCUCCAGACUCAUUAAAUUUGCUGCUGAUAUUUGUAGAUCUCAGCAGGUUUUUAGAUUAGAGCUGCAACUAUGAAAUAUGACCACGGUAGAGUAAUCAGAUCGAUGCAAGCUCUACUUUCAGUAGAUGAGUCACUUGGAGGUAGAUACUCAGAAAACACUUGAAAAUAUGUGUCACUGUGUCUGUUCAGUUUAUGUCUAAACAAAAACCUUUAAGGUUAUUGAAGUCAAGGACGUAUUUAUAAAGUUUUCAAGGGGCAUAAUUAAACUUUUUAUCAUAACAUUGUGCAGCACUUUUUAGCUUCAGUGAGAAUGAUGUAGUAGCCUAAAAGGUUAUACUUUACAAGUUUUAAAACAAUAUUUUCAUUAUUAUUAUUUAUGUAUGUGAUGUAUGCCUUCUUCCGUCUCUCAUCCCAACAUCAACAUCUGUAAAUCCCGUACCUGUAAAGGCUAAGUGGUAAAACCCCUCCUUUAUAAAACAGAAGACAAAAUAAUCAUAUCAACCAGCAUAAGACUUUACGAGAUCACAUAAAACAGGACGACAGUUUGAUGUAAAUGCUCGCAUUUUAUUUACAAACCAAAUUUGCAGAACCUUGGCGGGACAGUCGGGGAGCAAACUGAGG